rnacentral:misc_RNA from 1 species
ACGUUGUACAACAGGAGUUGUCCCGCUUAGUUUAGUCUUCCGUAUUGUCGGUGUUUGUUUACCAUCUCAUUAUGGAAUGACAAUUACUGUCGGUUUGUUGGCCGCAAUUUAGAACAAGCUAGAGAAUGGAACUUAAAGGACAGGUGGUAGUCUACUCCAUUGUGGGGUGCCCUCAUUGCAUGAAGGCAAAAAAUACUCUACAAGAAAAGGGAAUUCCCUACACCGACAUCAGCUUGGAUAAAUUCCCCAAGUGUAGGGAGGAACUCAUCUCAAAAACCGGCAAGAAGACCGUUCCUCAGAUAUUCUUUAAUGCUACUCACGUCGGAGGAAACGAUGACCUGCAAUCGCUGAUCAAUGACAAGGAGAGAUUUGAUGCAUUGCUUAAUGAUGUCAUCACUAAUGAAGCUCCUCCAGAUGCCCCCCAAAUUCCAGAUCCGGAUACUGCAGUUCCAGAUUCAGAUGUGGGAGAUUUCACCUGUGAGCCGGAUGAGUAUGCAGUUCUGGUAAAGAAUCUCAGAGCCAGUGGUCUGAUCAAGGACCACCGGAGAUUUUUGUUGGUCCAGAAGAACACCUUUGUGGGGAAAGAGUUUGUAGACUGGAUUGUCAAAACCAAGGGACUAGACAGAUCUGUAGCGGUAGAGAUGGGACAGAAGCUGAUUGAUGAACAUUUUGGACACAACCUAAAAUCCAAUCAGAUGUUUGAGGACUCGGACACUCUGUACAGGCUGAUGGAUGAUGAUGAGUCUACGGCACUAAAUGCAGGGGAGAUGUCAACUUGUGAACCAAGACCAGCUGGUGAGUUGGGAGAAGAUAUCAGAAAGCUUAUUUUAAAGAUAUACGCAGCCUUCUUGUCAGCUGAUGGUAAGAAAGUGAAUUACAAAGGAAUAGCUGGCAGUGAUGAAUUCAAGAAGUAUGUACGUCUUACCAAAGAGUUGCAGCGAGUGAAUGUCGUUGAUGCCAGCGGGGAUGAGAAAGUGGCCUUCUUCAUCAAUAUCUACAAUGCUCUUGUCAUUCAUGCUAAUGUUGCCUUUGGACCUCCUGUAAAUCUGUGGCAGCGAUACAAGUUUUUCAAUACUGUCCGUUAUAUCAUUGGUGGACAUGCUUACUCACUGCAAGAUAUAGAGAAUGGAGUAUUACGAGCAAAUAGAAAAGGAGUGGGUAAGUUUUGAGAGAGAGAGAGAGAGAGCUUGUUUACAUAAUGACACCAGGAAAGAAAACAAAUGUUUUUUAUUUAAAUGUGCAUAUACAUCUGUAAGUACAGUAAAGGGAAGUUAAAAAAUGAUGCUCACUGAAAUGAUAAAAUGAUUGGUAUUCAUUUAAGUAAUACCAACUUGACUGCAUAAAAACAGGUGUUUGCACAACAGUAAAGCCAAUGUAGGAAGUGUUUUUUGAUUUGAGGCCCAGGUGUCCUUCGAGGCAGUAUUUUGUUCGCAAGAAGAAUAUAAAUUACAGAAAGUGCAAAGUCCAAGGACACGGUUUUGUUGUAGGAAUGCUGUUUCGUCCUUUCUCCCAGUCUGAUCCACGCCUGAAGGUCGCCUUAGAUGAGCCCGAGCCUUUCGUUCACUUUGCUCUUGUGUGUGGAGCCAAAAGCUGUCCCCCCAUCAAAACAUACUCCACUGAUGGGUUAGAGGAUCAACUGAAACUGGCCGCUGAAGCUUUCUUGGACAGUGAAGAUGGCCUCACCAUUGACAUGAACAAAAAACAAAUCUUUCUCACCAAAAUUCUCAGCUGGUAUCAAGAAGAUUUUGGGAAAAACAAAGAAGAGGUUUUACAGUGGAUUCUAGCCAAUCUGUCCGAUGGGGAGAGGAAAUCUCAGUUGAAAGAGCUAUUGGAUGGAAAGUCGUACAAAGUGGGAUACAAGCAUUAUGACUGGGGACUCAAUUCAUAAUCCAGAAACUCCCGACUCUCUCAAUGUUUACCGAUUGAUAUCUCCUUGUGUGUUCUCUUACCAUAUGUUGUAACUGUGUUUUUGGUCAUAUUUUACCCUGCAUACAUACCAAGUUCUUUGGGGUUUUUCAUUCUAUUUAUUUUUUCAAAUUGUAUUACAUUACAUUUUCAAUGCCACAAAUCACAUUUGCAAUAUCUGAUGCCAUUCUUUAAACCAUGAUUUUUUUUUAAACUAGGAAUUUAUAUAACAUGCAACCAUAUCUACUGCAAUAUUAAUUCAAUAUGUUCUGUGAUAUUGCUGAUUUGUUACAUGUACAACUAACCAAACCGUUUUGUAAUCCUACAUGUAAUAAAAUGCAUGAAAACAGAGUUCCAGCCAAUGAAAUCUUAUGGAUAUUGACAAUUUUAUAUUUUGUGUGCCUGUAUAUAUUGUACCAGGUGCAGUUCCGUUAAGUGGAUGUGUUGGUUGUUGAACAUUGUUGUGUAUUUGUUUUGUCUGUUUAUAAAAGCAAGUAUAUUUUUUUAAACCAAAGUACUCAAUGCUGUUGAUUCCGUUGAAAGCUGGGGAUACCAGUUCACUUAUCAGGAUCUGUAACCAUAUCCAGCAUAAUAUACAGGUGAACAAGAUAGCAACCAUAUUAUUUCAAGUAUCAUUCCUGUCAAUAUCAUUAUGUAUGUACAAUGAUUUUGUGAUUGUUCCAUGACAAGUGCUUAUUUAUACAUUUAGUGAUUAGUACAUGUCCAUUUGUGAAUUCAGUUUUAGUAAUAUG